rnacentral:rRNA from 1 species
AGAGUUUGAUCCUGGCUCAGAAUCAACGCUGGCGGCGCGCCUAACACAUGCAAGUCGAACGAGAAAGCCGGAGCAAUCUGGUGAGUAAAGUGGCGUACGGGUGAGUAACACGUGGGUGAUUUACCCUUUAGUGGGGGAUAACCCGGGGAAACCUGGGCUAAUACCGCAUAAGUCCGAGAGGAGAAAGUCGCAAGACGCUGAAGGAGAAGCCCGCGGCCGAUUAGCUAGUUGGUGGGGUAAUGGCCUACCAAGGCAACGAUCGGUAGCCGGCCUGAGAGGGCACACGGCCACACUGGCACUGAAACACGGGCCAGACUCCUACGGGAGGCAGCAGUGGGGAAUCUUGCACAAUGGGGGAAACCCUGAUGCAGCGACGCCGCGUGAGCGAUGAAGCCCUUCGGGGUGUAAAGCUCUUUCGGCAGGGACGAUAAUGACGGUACCUGCAGAAGAAGCUGCGGCUAACUACGUGCCAGCAGCCGCGGUAAUACGUAGGCAGCAAGCGUUGUUCGGAAUUACUGGGCGUAAAGGGUGCGUAGGCGGUUGGGCAAGUCUGUUGUGAAAUCUCCCGGCUUAACUGGGAGGGUGCGGCGGAAACUGCCCGGCUAGAGUGUGGGAGAGGGAAGUGGAAUUCCUGGUGUAGCGGUGAAAUGCGUAGAUAUCAGGAGGAACACCUGCGGUGUAGACGGCUUCCUGGACCACUACUGACGCUGAAGCACGAAAGCGUGGGGAGCAAACAGGAUUAGAUACCCUGGUAGUCCACGCCCUAAACGAUGCAAACUUGGUGUGCGCUCUUCAUUGGG